CGCACAUUGCGCCCCUUGGUAUUCCGGGGGGCAUGCCUGUUCGAGCGUCAUUACUCCUCUCAAGCGUAGCUUGGUCUUGACCCCCGACCCUCACCCGGUCGCGGUCGAAAGUGAGUGGCGGUCCCGCGCGACUUCGAGUACAGUAAUUUCAUUAUCCUUGCUCCGAACGUCGGGCGGCGGCCGGCCAACAACCCUCCCAUCUCGUAACGAAUUGACCUCGGAUCAGGCAGGGAUACCCGCUGAACUUAA
rnacentral:misc_RNA from 1 species